GUUUCGUGGACCGGUUCCUGGGCGCGGGACUCGCGUUCCCGUAACUCCCGCACCAGUUCGGCGAGCGCUUCGGUGCGACGGCGGCGCACGACG
rnacentral:tRNA from 1 species